CAAUAAUCUGCAAUAACCAAAAGAAUAAAACUGUAGGUACAGAAUUAUUUUCACAGGAAAGCUACAGAUUUUUAAAAUCUGUGACGUGGCAGCAACAAAUAAUAUUUAAUUAAGCAAAAAAAAAAGGCAAAAAAGAAUUAGAAGUCAAAUGGAAACCGCAAAAUCUCAGCCAUUUCCCACUAAUUUGUCUGCAACCCAGCCCGCCCUCCAAGAGUAGAACCCAGCCCGCCGCUCAAUCAAGAUUCAUCGGCGCAUUCUUCCCCCCACAAAUACAAACCAGUCCGCCAUCCACCGCUCAAUCAAGAUUCACCGACACAUUCUUCUCCCCAAAAUCCUUUUGUAGCCGUUGUCAAAAUAUAGUGCAGAUUCAAUCCAGGUUAGUUCUCUGCAAUCUUCGGGUUUCAAUUUUAGUUGUGGGAAAUGCUUUUUCAUUGUUGGCCUGAGUUGGCCGAUUGGGUCUUGAUAUAGGGACUCAAAAUUAGCUUCAAUUAUGGGCAUCCCUUUUUCUGUCCCAUUAAAAUGAGUAUUCUUAGGAAAAGAUCUCUAGGUAACUGAUUUAUUAUUUUCUGCCACUUUUGGAUGAAGUUUGUAGCACCUUGUUCUAAGGAUCUUUAACUUGAUUACUUUAUUUUGCAGGUAGUAGGUAGUUUAUGAAGAAGUUAAGAUGCUAGUUCAAAGAAAAUGAAGCUUGCUAUUGAUUGCUAUUUCAUCAAGAUGUCAGGCUAUAUGUAAUUUGCUAAUUUGCUACUGUACUGUAAAAUAGGAAGUUGGUAUUUUGUUACUGUAUUGUAAAGCCCCACCACGUUUAGUAUCCAAUCUGCUGUGUUAUAAAAUAGGUGGCCGAAUUCUCAUCAAUUCAUUGUGGUUUAAAAUAUUCAUCUUAUUUUGCUGAUAAUUUUGUCAUCAUUGUUGGACUAUGCAAUGUCAUUUGCUACAGAAUGGAUGCAUUUGGCUUCGGUUUUUGGCACUUUUCAGGAAUGUUAUUUUUUUCUCGGUGCGGGAAUUAUUUCAUUGUUAUUUGAUCCUUCAACUUUGUGUCAAUUUAGAUGAUAAAAAGCAG
rnacentral:lncRNA from 1 species